ACACACACACACACUUACAGACGCAUACACACUAGCUAACAGACACACACAUUUACUGACAGAGAUACAGUCAGCGACAGAAAUACAUACACACUCACUUACAAAACAUACACUCUCAUUGACAAACACACACUCACUAACAGACAUCAAACAGACUCACUAACACACACACACUCACUAAGACACACACUAACACACUCACUGACACUCACUAGCAGACACACACACUAACACUCACACUAACACUCACUAGCAGACACACACUAACAAUCACUCUAACACUCCAACACUCACACUAACACUCACUCUAACACUCACACUAACACACACUAACACUCACUCUAACACUCUAACACUCACACUAACACUCACUCUAACACUCACACUCACACACACUAACACUCACACAUGAUUUUUUUUUUUUUAAUAUAAUCCCCCCAGCCUCCUUACCUCUUGGAGUGCUGGGGGGGAUUAUUCCCUGGGGUCCAGUGGGGCUCCUGGGC